UACAGAGGGGCAAGCGUUGUUCGGAAUUACUGGGCGUAAAGGGCGCGUAGGCGGCCUUCUAAGUCGAACGUGAAAUCCCCGGGCUCAACCCGGGAACUGCGUCCGAUACUGGGAGGCUUGAAUCCGGGAGAGGGAUGUGGAAUUCCAGGUGUAGCGGUGGAAAUGCGUAGAUAUCGGAGGAACACCGGUGGCGAAGGCGGGUCUGCUGGGCGAGUAACUGACGCUGAGGAACGAA
rnacentral:rRNA from 1 species